AAUCAGUGUUAAAUUAUUUUUUAUUUUUUUUUGUGUCAGUUAAUUGCUACGUAUCUUGGGCUGUCAUGGGUUUUCAUUAUAUUGUUGUGCCCCGGGUUGCAAAAGAUCAGGCAGGGAUAAAAGUGUGCGUUUCUUUUCUAUACCUUGCAUUCGUAAAAAUCAAGGGAAACUGGAAUUGGAUGUUGUGAAACGCAGAAGAGAAGUCUUUUUGAAAAGACUUCAUCUUGUUGGCCAAAAAAUUACAAAUAACAUUAGAGUUUGUAAUGCACAUUUUGUUCUAGGAAAACCUUUUUACUACACUGGAGAAACACACCCAGACUGGGCCCCAUCCCUGAAUUUUG
rnacentral:lncRNA from 1 species